CAUAAUUGCGGUGCUCUGUAGGAGAAGGAGGAUCGGGCCGCUUUCUUAUUGUAUUGAGGUAGAUUAAGUAAAGUGCUUGUACUGGGUCGGAGGUUAUAGGAAGUGGGAACAGCUGGGGAAAGCAUUGUGUUCAGGUAGGGUGGGAGUUUCCCAGAAAAGCUCUUAAACACAAGGCUGGAAAGAUGAAGGGUGCGUCUGGAUUCCAGCGACAGCCAGUUUAGUUCCUUU
rnacentral:lncRNA from 1 species